rnacentral:lncRNA from 1 species
CUACUGUUUUGUUUAGUGUGGGGUGUGUGGUAUGAAGUGUGGAAUUGCAGGUGGUUUUAGUUUUUAAAAUUGGGUUAUUUAUUCACCUGUCUAGCACGCCUUUAGGCAGUGUACUAUAUACAACCACAUCAACAGUCAGAGCGUGUUUCAAUUGCUUGGUUGUGGUGUGAUGACUCUCCCCACGUGGCUUCAUUGUGAAUUGCAGGUGGCAUUCAAAUUUUAAAAUUAGGUUGAUUUCAUAACCUGUCUCAACACACUUUUAGGUAAAUCUCCCUUUUCAAAGCAUCCCUCUCUUGUGAUUAAGCGGUGCACGGACUGUAUUAAUUUGAAAUAUGUUUUGGCUAAUGUUCUCUUUAGCGUGGGGUUUGUGCUGUGAACCGUGUGCAUUUUAAGACUGCUUGCUGCCAUCAUGUCCCUUUGUUGCACUCAAACAUCAAAUCUAUUCUGCAAACUUACCAUUUUUCACCUUUUUCUUUCUUUUUCUUUUUUAAAUAGUAUUAAUAAAUAUCAGUAAGUAGCACAAUGUUGGGCUCAACUAUUCGGAGUGGUAGAGACAACAACAUACACAAUCACAUCAACACUGAAAGACAAUACAGAAAGUUGCCCGGUAUAGAUGAAGCCCAGUCUUACCUCCCUGUCUCUGUUGCAGCACCUGGACCAGGUCUUUGUAGUCCGCGAGAACCCAGAGCCGGCCCUCAGCAGGGUGCGCGUCACUUUCUUCACCGGCAGCGAUUGUAAUCCCUGUUUGUCUAGGGCCGCCUUCUCUGCCUCCUUCAACGUGUGGACCCGUGCCGGUCCGUGCGAUGCUGGUGACGGAUGCGUUGCUGGGAGCACCUGGACCAGGUCUUUGUAGUCCGCGAGAACCCAGAGCCGGCCCUCAGCAGGUGCGCGUCACUUUCUUCACCGGCAGCGAUUGUAAUCCCUGUUUGUCUAGGGCCGCCUUCUCUGCCUCCUUCAACGUGUGGACCCGUGCCGGUCCGUGCGAUGCUGGUGACGGAUGCGUUGCUGGGAGGUAUGUAAAAAGCCUUACGUAUGCGUGUGUUUGCCUAUAGGGUGUCCAGUUGUGGGGGAGAGGUGGAGCAAGAGUCCCACCUGUUGUCAUGUUAUAGUUGCUUUGUUGUGGUGUGAUGGCAUCCCAUCGUGGCUUCAUUGUGGAAUUGCAGGUAGGCUUAAAAUUUUAAAAUUGGGUUAAUUUGUU